GGGGACCCAGGGAGCUUGGAUCUCACUGGCAAACCUGGAAAGCCUGGAAUCAGAGGUGUCAAAGGCAGAGAGGGUUCAGAGGGGCUUCACGGCAGUCCUGGAGACAAGGUUAGUGGUUUUGUAAAAUGUAACAGUCACAUCAUGUGACACACCAUAUGAUGACAAAAUGUAAUGCAAUAAAAAGCUGAAAACAUUAUUAGCUACGUUUAACAGUAAUCAGCAGCAGAAGCAAAAGUUUCCUUUCAUUUUUUGCGUUCAAAUCAAACCUCCUUUCAUUCACAAGCCAUAUGUUCUACUGUCUGUUCUCUACUUAUAAUUUAUAUCCAAAUGCAUUUUAGAAUAUUUUCAUUUGAUAUUAGGGAAAAAUGGUCCUGAGGGGCCCAAAGGAAAACCUGGUCAGCCAGUAAGUGCCUUAUAGGUUGUAUAUAUUUACAUUUUUUCCUCAUUCAGUAACAUUAAACUUUAGGUUCCAAAACUCUUUGAAUAUAUUGAUUUCUCUGUUUAGGGUCCUCUAGGCCUGCCAGGAGAGAAGGGCUACCGAGGACCUCCUGUAAAGCAUACAUUUAACAUACAUUUGCAGUCUUUUUGUCAUGAUGCAAUAGCAGGAAUAUUACUAUGCAUUUAUCCAGUUAGUAAUGAUAAAACAUUUGUAAAUGUAAUCUUCUAAAAGGCCCACAAGGAAACAUAGGCCAGUGGUGUGAGACAGGUCUGCAGGGGCCAGUAGGAAAUCAAGGGCCCAUAGGGCCACCGGGGCCACAUGGAGUGGCUGGGUACCCAGUAUGUAUUUUUGGUUUAUUAACAAAAAAUGUUGUGUAUUUGUUUUUUUGUCAGGGGCUGAGUGGUGCUCCAGGGCAGAAGGCAGAUCCUGGAUCCCCUGGUGAAAAAGGUCAGACAGGUCUGAGAGCUUACUCGGGGUUGGUAGGAAGGUACGGUCCUGGAGGGAACAUGGGAAAAUCUGGUGGAAAAGGCGACAAAGGUCUACGUGGACUUGUUUUGGGUACCACUUCCUCUUUUGCAGCUAAUGAAGCCUAUGAAGAAAUGUAUUUAUUUUGUUUAUUUCAGUGUUCUAUGGGUAUCAUAGGGCGCUGCAGGAACAAAUGGGCCACCGGGUCCAAAUGGUGCUAUUGGGUUACCGGGUUUGCCAGGGAAAAAAUGAUUUGUUGGACAAAGUGGAAAAUUUGGACCAAAAGGAGUGAGAACCUGGAGUUAAAGGGAAUCCAGGCAGCCCUGGGAAGAUUGGAUCAAUGGGCGUUUCAGGCCCAAGUGAGAAGAAAGGAGAGCCUGGAACAAGAGGCAGAAUGGGGUCAUUGGGUCAGCCAGGAGCUGUGGGUCCUCGCGGACUAAAGGGAAAACCAGGAUCUUCAGGGCCUUCAGCGGAAAAAGGAGUCAAGGGUCAACCAGGGCCAAAAGUCAGUGUCUCAAUAUUUUAUAGACGUAUCAUUUAAUCUGGUCAUUUUAAGUCUUCACCAGUUGUUUUGAUCAUAUCGGUCACUUCAAGGCCUUGGUCAUUGCUCAUUAAUGUAAUUUACAGGGCCAUGUUGGUAUUAGAGGAUUGCAAGGGCCCAGUGGACCACCAGGAGAAAAGGUAAUUUCAAAUGAAACAUAGAAAGCACAUAAAAAAACAACCAGUUGCUUUUUUUCAGUAGUUAGGAAUGUUUUCCUUCAUCUUGCAGGGAAAGCAAGGUGCUCCAGGGUACAAAGGACGACCUGGGCUGAAAGGCAUACAGGUAAAUAACUGUCUGCUGUAUUUUCGUGGACAUAUUUACUGUGAACUUUUGAUUCUUUAUUCAUAAAUAUGUUAUUUGUUGCAGGGUGUAGCUGGUGCUUGUGGGCCUCCUAGUGAUUUCCCUGCCUUAUCUUUACAGGUAACAGCACAGGUGAGGGUUCUUGGGAAUUUGGACCUCCACGGAGGGGACAUACAACUCCUUCCCAUAAGAGAUGUUCUUUUCCAGGGUGGAGGAGAAACCUGGGAAGGAGAUCCGAGCAUUGUCCUUGGACAUUUGUGCUUUUUAUAGAAUCUUUCCAAAAUUAGAUUCCAUUCACAGAGCACCUGGGAGGAGUGCAUUGUUCCCAGGAUGUAUGCUACAAUUAGGCUUUGAAUAUUGUAUAAUAAUGUAAGCUAGAUUAUGAUUAGUGAAUUUGUUCUCCGGGUUUAUAUUAUUCAGAUUAUUGUUACACUGAAAGUGGUGCAAAAACUGUGUGUUUGUCUGUGAGAGCAUGUCAGUUUAUCUAGACUUGUGUGUCAGUGGGUUGUGAGUAUUUAUGUAAUGAUUUAUGUAAGUUUGUAAGAAUUUGUUAUGGAGGAAAAGAUCAUUUAUUAAACCUUUACCUGGUGCCUCUUUUUUUUAACUGAUAUAAAAAAAAAUUUAAACCCUAUAGGGCAUUUGUACUUUAUAUAUUGCAGAAAUGUUCUCAUGAAAAAUAUGUCAUGAAAUUCUCAGUAUUUUUGCCAUCUUCCUAAAUGAUGCAAUAAACAACCCCUGGAUAAAUAAUUGUUUUUUUUU
ensembl:lncRNA